rnacentral:piRNA from 1 species
GAGGUGAAUCUUUGCAGCGUGAAUGGUC